UGAGGAAUAUUGGUCAAUGGACGGAAGUCUGAACCAGCCAAGUAGCGUGCAGGAAGACGGCCCUAUGGGUUGUAAACUGCUUUUGUAUGGGGAUAAAGUCAAUCACGUGUGAUUGUUUGCAGGUACCAUACGAAUAAGGACCGGCUAAUUCCGUGCCAGCAGCCGCGGUAAUACGGAAGGUUCGGGCGUUAUCCGGAUUUAUUGGGUUUAAAGGGAGCGUAGGCCGGAGAUUAAGUGUGUUGUGAAAUGUAGACGCUCAACGUCUGACUUGCAGCGCAUACUGGUUUCCUUGAGUACGCACAACGUUGGCGGAAUUCGUCGUGUAGCGGUGAAAUGCUUAGAUAUGACGAAGAACUCCGAUUGCGAAGGCAGCUGACGGGAGCGCAACUGACGCUGAAGCUCGAAGGUGCGGGUAUCGAACAGGAUUAGAUACCCUGGUAGUCCGCACAGUAAACGAUGGAUGCUCGCUGUUGGUACCUAGUAUCAGCGGCUAAGCGAAAGCAUUAAGCAUCCCACCUGGGGAGUACGCCCGGCNCGGU
rnacentral:rRNA from 1 species